AAUGCUUUUAAGUCGUUUGACCUCAUCUUCCUGUGCUCUGUAAGAUUCUAGUUCUUGCUGAACUGAUUCUGCAACUUCUGGGAAUGGACUAAAACAGUAGUGCACAAGAACUAUGAGUAUGACAUUUACAUACUGAUUUUGGUGUGAA